rnacentral:rRNA from 1 species
UACGUAGGGUGCGAGCGUUAAUCGGAAUUACUGGGCGUAAAGGGUGCGCAGGCGGUUUUGUAAGUCGGAUGUGAAAGCCCCGGGCUCAACCUGGGAAUGGCAUUUGGGACUGCAAGGCUUGAGUGCGGCAGAGGAGACUGGAAUUCCUGGUGUAGCAGUGAAAUGCGUAGAUAUCAGGAGGAAUACCGAUGGCGAAGGCAGGUCUCUGGGCUGACACUGACGCUCAUGCACGAAAGCGUGGGGAGCAAACAGG